AUAAGAGAAUUGAUUUCUAGAUUGGAAGUUAACAUAUGAUGGCUAUGAAAUGUAUCCAAAAACUUGUGUUGGUUAUGAUGGAGUUGAUUCUCGCCAUAAUAAUCGAAGUAAAUGGCAUUGAAUCUACCCCUUUCUCUCUCGGUCCUACUUCACUUCCUAUCAGCCUUCACGUCUUCCAACUUGAUCAGAGUUAUAAUCACAUUUGCCUUGAAAAGACAAUUGAAAAAUGUGAAAUACUUGUAGAAGUAACAGAUUUGGAGCAAUGUAUUAUCCGUAAUAUUUUUCGGUGCCUUUUCAAAAACCCAAUACAUCUUGAAUUUCCUAAACACAAAUAUCCCAUUAUUAUGAGACAUUGCAUACAUUAUUGUUUUGGGGAAUUGAGACAUAAAGGCAUCAGCAGUGCAUCAUGUUUAUUAGAUUGCUUUGAAGAGCAAAUCACCAAGCAUUAAGUGUCUAUAUCUAAAAUUGAUGAGCUCCAAGGUUAAUAAAAGGGUAUGUAAGAUGGCAUUACAUGUUGGUGUGUGGCAUCUUGGAUAGUUGGAUUGUAUGGAUAAAAGCUACUUGUUUUAUUGCUUAUUUUAUUUAUGUAACUCUUGGAAGGGGUUAUGCCCUAAGAGCCAAUUUCUCUUGUUUGACAUUUGGUUUCUUAAAUAAAGUUGUUUAUUUUCUGAAUUAUAUGUUAGGGAUAUUGCCUUAAAUCCCAAUUAUUUUGUAAGACCUUUUGAUUUAAAUGAAUAUAGAUGUUUGUUUGCUGA